rnacentral:rRNA from 1 species
UACGAAGGGGGCUAGCGUUGCUCGGAAUUACUGGGCGUAAAGCGCACGUAGGCGGCUUUCUAAGUCGGGGGUGAAAUCCUGGAGCUCAACUCCAGAACUGCCCUUCGAUACUGGAGAGCUUGAGUCCGGGAGAGGUGAGUGGAACUGCGAGUGUAGAGGUGAAAUUCGUAGAUAUUCGCAAGAACACCAGUGGCGAAGGCGCUCACUGGCCCGGUACUGACGCUGAGGUGGCGAAAAGCGUGGGGAG